AUAAAGGAAGCGCAGCCAUCUUUGAUCUUCAUAGUCUUCACCAUAGAUUAUGAAGAAUUAGAAUAUGAAGACCAGGAAGAACUUCCUGCAAUGCUGUAUGUUUUCCUUCUCGGCACAUAAUAUCGGUUUUAUUGUUAUGUAAAACCGUAAUAUUGAUGUGCCUUUGGAAAACAUACAGCAUUGUAUUAUGAAGACGUGUUUGUUAUCUGCUGGUGAAAUUAUUAAGCACAACGCUAUGAUGAAAUAGAAAGUCGACAGCGCUGCUUUAUGCAGAAGGAUUGUUUUACAGGCAAAAUUUUCUUUUUGGAAAAGAAAACAGAAUUUGGCAACAUCUGCAGACUUAGGAUCAAUUUUAAAACUGUAGCACCAUAUGCACCAUCUUCUAGUUGCUGGUAAGUAUGCUGGCAAAGUGGAUUGACACCAGCUAAUUUUCAAUAAAUCUUCUCCUGUGUAGACCAGUCUAUUAUUUGUACAACCUCCCCCCCCCCCCGUUUCUAAGCUUUCAGGGUUAAUAUUUACCCCGUGGAGGAGGCAGGUUUUGGAUUUCGUGCGAGUUAUCUAGCGUUCGGGAUCUGAGGGCUUGGAAACCCAAAUGCUUUCGCUCAGUCUGGAAACACUACCAGGUAGGUUCCCUAGACACUGUUGAAGUGAGUCAGUACUCUGGGGAAAAGGUUGAGAGGAGGAAUUCUCCAUGCUAGUUGCAUCCUCUACGGUCUGCUGAAGGUAUCCAAUCUUGGUCGGCGAAUGGGUUUAUAUCCGGAUGACCCCACUUUCGAAAAACUUUUGUGGUCACUUGUGGUAAAAAGUGCCAUUUCGCAGGUUGAUUUCCUCGUGAUAGCCUAUCGGCUACGAUGUUGUAUCUCCCCGAGAGAUUAUAAGCUGACAGUUAUUUUGAACUUAUCGCUUAGUUUAAAAAUCGAAAGGUUAACCGCUAGUGAAAUACUUUCAGAUUAAUUUUGAUUGUCACUACCAUUGCAAAUAGCUCUUUUGUGGUUGAGCCGUUUCAGUUGUUGAGCUGACCAUAGACAGGACGUUAAUAUUUUGUCUAAUUGUAACCCCUACCCAUAUCCGAAGCUUCCGUUGCCAGGAAAUGGUUGGUUUUGUGUCUCGGCAAUGUUUGACAUGUGGCUCCGCGUCAGCACUGCAUUUGUAACCCGUACACAUGUCCGAAGCUUCCGUUGCCAGGAAAUGGUUGGUUUUGUGUAUCGGCAAUGUCUGACAUGUGGCUCCGCGUCAGCACUGCAUUUAAUUGUUAACACAUGCAGGAUGGCCUGUUUUUUACGGGGGUGUUUUUUCUUGAAACUUCGCAAGAAAAUUUGCAAGUUAACAUAGAGUGAUGUAAUUCCGUCAGAGUUUGAGCUAGAAUGUUGUUGAGUGGCCACUUUAUUUCUCGCAAUUUUUCAUCGAAUCCCUAGCCAUGUCAUCUCUUGAACCAGUGUACUAAUUGAUUUUUUGUAAGGCUGACUUGGCAGCUCAAAUAAUCAAAGAGCUUCACAGCUUAUGUGGCCUGAAGACUCAACUUGGACUUCUUUUGAUGGACCAGGAGGGACUUGCGUAGGUGGGAUAACACUCAACAUCCCUUUGCACGCAAUGUUUCCGUGACUGAGCAUGCUAUGCAAGCAAAAAAGGUGUAUUUGUCUUCAUGGACCAAGAGAAAGUCGCGUAGGUACGUUAACAUUUGACUUCCCUAUGUACGCAAGGUCUCCGCGACCGAGCAUGCUAUGGGAACAAAAACGGUUAUUUGUCUUGGUGAAACAAGAUUAAGUCGUGUAGGUAAGCUAGCACUCUACUUUGCACGCAAUGUCUCCGCGACCGAGCGACCGAGCACCCUACAUAAUGGAAAUUGACAUGCCAGCCCAGAUAAUCCAAAAUCUUCACGGCUUCUGCAGCCUGAAGUUUCAACUUGGAUUUGUCUUGGUCGACCAAAAGGAAGUCGUCUAGGUAGACUAGCACUCGAGUUCCUUUUGCACGCAAGGUCUCUGCGACCCAGCAUGUUAUGGAAGCAAAAAAGGUUAAUCCAAAAGUUUCACAGCUUCUGCAGCCUGAAGUUUCAACUUGGAUUUGUCUUGGUCGACCAAAAGGAAGUCGUCUAGUAGACACUAGCACUCGAGUUCCCUUUGCACGCAAGGUCUCUGCGACCCGCAUGUUAUAGAAGCAAAAAGGUGUGGCUCUGAAGCCAGACCGAAGGGUAGGCAUGUCAUUUCAUACUAACUCAUAAGAAGGUACCGAUUCCUUUCUGAAGGUACUGAUACUGGUACUUUGGUACUGAUCCUCAAGAAGUAUCGACGAAAUUUUGCGACCGAUACUAGAAAAAUGUUCCUGAGAAAUGUUCAAUUUUAUCAUCCAGUCCCAUGGGUGGAGAAAGUUUGGUACCGAGGUGUCCGAAAACAGUUAGGUGUUUUAUCUUUA